rnacentral:rRNA from 1 species
GCUGGCGACCGGCGCACGGGUGAGUAACACGUAUCCAACCUGCCCUUUACUCGGGGAUAGCCUUUCGAAAGAAAGAUUAAUACCCGAUAGUAUAAUGAUUCCGCAUGGUUUCAUUAUUAAAGGAUUCCGGUAAAGGAUGGGGAUGCGUUCCAUUAGGUUGUUGGUGAGGUAACGGCUCACCAAGCCUUCGAUGGAUAGGGGUUCUGAGAGGAAGGUCCCCCACAUUGGAACUGAGACACGGUCCAAACUCCUACGGGAGGCAGCAUG